rnacentral:rRNA from 1 species
CCCUUAGAUGUUCUGGGCCGCACGCGCGCUACACUGACAGAGUCAGCGAGUUGUCCUGCAUCGGAAGGUGUGGGUAAUCUUUUGAAACUCUGUCGUGCUGGGGAUAGAUCUUUGCAAUUAUCGAUCUUAAACGAGGAAUUCCUAGUAAGCGUGAUUCAUCAGAUCGCGUUGAUUACGUCCCUGCCCUUUGUACACACCGCCCGUCGCUACUACCGAUUGAAUGGUCCGGUGAAAUCUCGGGACGGCGGCUUGGUCGCUUGCGUCCGACUGCUGAAACUUGAUUAAACCAUAUCAUUUAGAGGAAGGUGAAGUCGUAACA